GACGAACGCUGGCGGCGUGCUUAACACAUGCAAGUCGAACGGGCCCGCCCUCUUUUUUGGGGGUGGGUUGAGUGGCGAACGGGUGAGUAUCACGUGAGUAACCUGCCCCCUGCUCCUGGAUAACUGCUUGAAAGGGCGGCUAAUACGGGGUGUGCCGGCUGGUCCGCAUGGGCCUGGUCGGGAUAGUUUCAUCUUCGGGUGUUUCGGUGGGGGAUGGGCUCGCGGCCUAUCAGCUUGUUGGUGGGGUGAUGGCCCACCAAGGCGGUGACGGGUAGCCGGCCUGAGAGGGUGGGCGGCCACACUGGGACUGAGACACGGCCCAGACUCCUGCGGGAGGCAGCAGUGGGGGGUAUUGCACAAUGGGCGGAAGCCUGAUGCAGCGACGUCGCGUGAGGGAUGGAGGCCUUCGGGUUGUGAACCUCUUUCUCCGGUGGUGAAGGCCCUGUCCGUUGCGGCGGGGUUGACGGUAGCCGGGUAUGAAGCGCCGGCUAACUACGUGCCAGCAGCCGCGGUAAUACGUAGGGCGCGAGCGUUGUCCGGAAUUAUUGGGCGUGAAGGGCUUGUAGGCGGCCGGUCGCGUCCGCCGUGAAAUUCUCCGGCUCAACCGGGGGCUUGCGGUGGGUACGGGCCGGCUGGAGUGCGGUAGGGGAGGCUGGAACUCCUGGUGUAGCGGUGGAAUGCGCAGACAUCAGGAGGAACACCGGUGGCGAAGGCGGGUCUCUGGGCCGUUACUGACGCUGAGGAGCGAAAGCGUGGGGAGCGAACAGG
rnacentral:rRNA from 1 species